rnacentral:lncRNA from 1 species
ACUGGAUCCCUUUGCCCUCAGAAAGCCAAACACCGAAGUAUCAGGUUUUUGUAGAGGGAAAGAUUUGUUGCAAGUCAACUGGGAAGGAGACAUGCUCAAAUCUGUCUCCCCAAGCCAGGGGCUGUGGCAGGUGUUAUAGGCAGAGGGUAAUGAGCCGUGAUCUGAUUGAAUCUUGCAAUAAGCAAUGAUCUGACUGGAUCUUGCCAUGGGAUGAUGCCAUGGCUCAAUCUGAUUAGAUCAUGGCUUGUGCCAUGUAUCUACUUCUUAAUUCUGUUCCGGUU